rnacentral:rRNA from 1 species
AAUAGAUACCCCGGUAGUCCACGCCGUAAACGAUGAGUGCUAAGUGUUAGGGGGUUUCCGCCCCUUAGUGCUGCAGCUAACGCAUUAAGCACUCCGCCUGGGGAGUACGGUCGCAAGACUGAAACUCAAAGGAAUUGACGGGGGCCCGCACAAGCGGUGGAGCAUGUGGUUUAAUUCGAAGCAACGCGAAGAACCUUACCGGGUCUUGACAUCCCACUGACCGCUAUGGAGACAUAGUUUUCCCUUCGGGGACAGUGGUGACAGGUGGUGCAUGGUUGUCGUCAGCUCGUGUCGUGAGAUGUUGGGUUAAGUCCCGCAACGAGCGCAACCCUUGAUCUUAGUUGCCAUCAUUUAGUUGGGCACUCUAAGGUGACUGCCGGUGACAAACCGGAGGAAGGUGGGGAUGACGUCAAAUCAUCAUGCCCCUUAUGACCUGGGCUACACACGUGCUACAAUGGCCGGUACAAACCGCUGCAAACUCGCGAGGGUGAGCUAAUCGGAGAAAGCCGGUCUCGAGUUCGGAUUGUAGGCUGCAACUCCG